rnacentral:rRNA from 1 species
GGCGAACGCUGGCGGCGUGCUUAACACAUGCAAGUCGAACGAUGAACCCGGAGCUUGCUCUGGGGGAUUAGUGGCGAACGGGUGAGUAACACGUGAGUAACCUGCCCUGGACUCUGGGAUAAGCGUUGGAAACGACGUCUAAUACCGGAUAGGACCUUGGAUCGCAUGAUCUGGGGUGGAAAGUUUUUUCGGUCUGGGAUGGACUCGCGGCCUAUCAGCUUGUUGGUGAGGUAAUGGCUCACCAAGGCGUCGACGGGUAGCCGGCCUGAGAGGGUGACCGGCCACACUGGGACUGAGACACGGCCCAGACUCCUACGGGAGGCAGCAGUGGGGAAUAUUGCACAAUGGGCGAAAGCCUGAUGCAGCAACGCCGCGUGCGGGAUGACGGCCUUCGGGUUGUAAACCGCUUUUAGUAGGGAAGAAGGGCUUCGGCUUGACGGUACCUGCAGAAAAAGGACCGGCUAACUACGU